rnacentral:hammerhead_ribozyme from 2 species
AGCCGAAACCAGCCGAAAGGCUGGUCAGCCGGAACUGACCUACCGGCUCUGAUGAUGGCAGGUUAAG